rnacentral:rRNA from 1 species
UGGGGAAUUUUGGACAAUGGGGGAAACCCUGAUCCAGCCAUCCCGCGUGUGCGAUGAAGGCCUUCGGGUUGUAAAGCACUUUUUGCAGGAAAGAAACGUCAUGGGUUAAUACCCCGUGAAACUGACGGUACCUGCAGAAUAAGCACCGGCUAACUACGUGCCAGCAGCCGCGGUAAUACGUAGGGUGCAAGCGUUAAUCGGAAUUACUGGGCGUAAAGCGUGCGCAGGCGGUUCGGAAAGAAAGAUGUGAAAUCCCAGAGCUCAACUUUGGAACUGCAUUUUUAACUACCGGGCUAGAGUGUGUCAGAGGGAGGUGGAAUUCCGCGUGUAGCAGUGAAAUGCGUAGAUAUGCGGAGGAACACCGAUGGCGAAGGCAGCCUCCUGGGAUAACACUGACGCUCAUGCACGAAAGCGUGGGGAGCAAACAGG